rnacentral:rRNA from 1 species
CCCAUGCGCUGCUACCAUGCAGUCGAGCGAGAUUUCUUUAGUUGAUCCUUCGGGUGAUUCUAAAGAAUGACAGCGGCGGACGGGUGAGUAACGCGUAGGCAACCUGCCCCAUACAUUGGGAUAGCCCCGGGAAACUGGGUGUAAUACCGAAUAACACUUGAGAUUCGCAUCUUUUUCAAGUCAAAACUCCGGUGGUAUGGGAUGGGCCUGCGUCUGAUUAGCUAGUUGGUAAGGUAAUGGCUUACCAAGGCGACGAUCAGUAGCCGACCUGAGAGGGUGAUCGGCCACACUGGAACUGAGACACGGUCCAGACUCCUACGGGAGGCAGCAGUGGGGAAUAUUGCACAAUGGGCGAAAGCCUGAUGCAGCAACGCCGCGUGAGUGAUGAAGGCUUUCGGGUCGUAAAACUCUGUCCUAAAGGAAGAAUAAUGACGGUACUUUAGGAGGAAGCCCCGGCUAACUACGUGCCAGCAGCCGCGGUAAUACGUAGGGGGCAAGCGUUAUCCGGAUUUACUGGGCGUAAAGGGUGUGUAGGCGGUUAUGCAAGUUGAUGGUGAAAGGCUACGGCUCAACCGUAGUAAGCCGUCAAAACUGUAUGACUUGAGUACAGGAGAGGAGAGUGGAAUUCCUAGUGUAGCGGUGAAAUGCGUAGAUAUUAGGAGGAACACCAGUGGCGAAGGCGACUCUCUGGACUGUUACUGACGCUGAGGCACGAAAGCGUGGGGAGCGAACAGGAUUAGAUACCCUGGUAGUCCACGCCGUAAACGAUGAAUGCUAGGUGUCGGGGGUCGAACCUCGGUGCCGCAGCUAACGCAUUAAGCAUUCCGCCUGGGGAGUACGGUCGCAAGACUGAAACUCAAAGGAAUUGACGGGGGACCCGCACAAGCAGCGGAGCAUGUGGUUUAAUUCGAAGCAACGCGAAGACCUUACCAGGACUUGACAUCCUCUGCAUUACCCUUAAUCGGGGAAAUCCCUUCGGGGACAGAGAGACAGGUGGUGCAUGGUUUGUCGUCAGC